rnacentral:rRNA from 1 species
GACGAACGCUGGCGGCGUGCCUAAUACAUGCAAGUCGAACGCAGUGGGGACGGGUGAGUAACCCGUGGGUAACCUCCCCUCAGAGGGGAUAACACUUGGAAACAGGUGCUAAACCGAUAUUGAUGGCUGGACCCUCGGUGCAUUAGCUAGUUGGUGAGGUAACGGCUCACCAAGGCCACGAUGCAUAGCAGACCGGAGAGGGUGAUCGGGCACAAGGGGACUGAGACACGGCCCAGACUCCUACGGGAGGCAGCAGUAGGGAAUGUUCGGCAAGGGACGAAAGUCUGACCGAGCAACGCCGCGUGAGUGAAGAAGGUUUUCGGAUCGUAAAACUCUGUUGUUAGAGAAGCGGUAUCUAACCAGAAAGCCACGGCUAACUACGUGCCAGCAGCCGCGGUAAUUC